AUUCAAAACUCCAAGUAAAUAGAGUGUGGUAUUUCGACAUAAUUGUGCUGCAGUACCGUAUCUUGACAAAAAUGUAUCAAAAAUGUCAAUGUAGUACCAUUGUACUUUUGGCUUCCAAAAUGUACCAACAAAGUACAAUUGUACCAUCAAUUUCAUCACUGUGCUAUAACCAACAUUGAGUUACGAGCCGAAUUCAGGCAGAAGCUGUUUGCUUGGCGUAAAACAGAGUUCAACAUUGAUGACGACACCAUCUCUGUGGAUUCCAAAGUAAAAUUUUGGCUAGAGAAAUCAAUACCAUCAAGUACAACUCCAGAUUCACUUGGAAAAUCCGAUCAAGCUAAAAGCCUACUGGAUGUUCGCUCUAUUUUGCAAAACUGUUCAAGGGGCAAAGCAAUAUUAAGUUACUAUGAAAAAAAAUCGCAGUUAUCAAAUAUUUAUAGAGAGCAACUUAUCGCAUUGAUAGUGGAAGAAGUAAACUGCAAUGAAGUCCGGAUAAGAACUUCAGACUACCCGUCAAUUAUCAAUCAAAUUGUUUCAAUUUUCCCUCCGGAAUGUGAAGCAAGAGUCAAUGCCAACGGACAUUUAGCGAAAAAAAAAACUUUUCGCACAUCUUGGUUUUGAAACGAUUUAUCUUUUUAGGAAUUUUACUUUAUUCCCCGGAAUGGUAGGAAAAACCCUGGCGGAAAACUGUAUGCGAAAUAUACUAAUAGCAGGGCAAAACGCUUUAAAUCUGAAAAGGCACCAGCAUCGCCUAAACCGGUUGAUGAUAGUUUAACUUUUGAAGCCGAGUUCGACGAAACCAUUUCGGUUGCAUUGAAAACUGAAUUAAAAAGAGACUAUUCAGAUUGGAACGCGGUUAUUGAUAAAUGGCAUAAGACUCAUAAUUUGCGUCUGAGAGACUUAAUAACCUAUGAUGCAGUAAGAUUUCUCAAGGAAUGGCCAAAAUAUUGCGACAGCAGGGCUAUUGAUUUGUUUAAAAUUGAUUUAAACAUUCUUUAUCCGGGCAAAGAGCUUAUGCUUCGCAGCAAAUGGGAAGCUUUUAAAACGAAAAUUGAGGUAUACUACCGAGAAAAUAUGCACAGCAAAAAGUUAUUAGCAGAUUUGCAUCUGGCUGAAAAUUGCGAUUCAUCAGACUAUAUUCUAACAACCUUGUUAAGGACUUGGCCGUACAUAAUUUUCUUCGCCAUAUGCUAACAUCUCCAACUACAGCUUGUCACACCUUAAUGCUUAACAAUUUGGUGUUCAUUGCUUUCUUGCUUGAAUUUUGUUUUGUCAUUCCUCGCUUAACAUCGCUUUGACUAUUGUUGGUACUUUUCGCAUUUUUCUUCACUUUCGCUUACUCGCAUUCUCAUCGCUCAUCUUCGCUCAUUGUUAU